rnacentral:rRNA from 1 species
CAAUAGCGUAUAUUAAAGUUGUUGCAGUUAAAAAGCUCGUAGUUGGAUUUCUGAUGUUUCAUUUUGCCCAUCUUGUUCGCCAAGUGUGAAUGUUGGGUUUUAAAAUGGACGUCAUCUUCGCCUAUUUAAUUCGGCGGGUUUGCAAUUGGUUUUGUGUUUCCCGUCGGAUGGGCGUCAUUUACUGUGAAAAAAUUAGAGUGUUCAAAGCAAGUUUUUUAAUCUUGAAUACAUUAGCAUGGAAUAAUAAGAUAGGACUUUGGUACUAUUUUGUUGGUUUGCAUACCAAAGUAAUGAUUAAUAGGAACAUAUUGGGGAUAUCUGUAUUUUUUAGUCAGAGGUGAAAUUCUUGGAUUUAAGAAAGACAAACUACAGCGAAAGCAUUUAUCAAGGAUGUUUUCAUUGA